UUUAUAUGAUGAUUGUAUUUAUUCACCAUCUUUCGGCUGAAAGUUUUGAUGAUAUGUUAGUUUACUGAUAA